AAGGUUACGUAGGCGGUGAGAUAAGNUGAAAGUGAAGCCCUAGGCUCAACNUAGGGACUGCUUUCAAAACUGUUUUACNUGAGUGCAGUAGAGGAAAGUGGAAUUCCUAGUGUAGCGGUGGAAUGCGUAGAGAUUAGGAAGAACAUCAGAAGCGAAGGCGACUUUCUGGACUGUAACUGACGCUGAGGUACGAAAGUGUGGGGAGCAAACAGGAUUAGAUACCCUGGUAGUCCACACUGUAAAC
rnacentral:rRNA from 1 species